GACGAACGCUGGCGGCGUGCUUAACACAUGCAAGUCGAACGGAAAGGCCCUUCGGGGUACUCGAGUGGCGAACGGGUGAGUAACACGUGGGUGAUCUGCCCUGCACUUUGGGAUAAGUCUGGGAAACUGGGUCUAAUACCGGAUAGGACCACGCGCUUCAUGGUGUGUGGUGGAAAGCUUUUGCGGUGUGGGAUGGGCCCGCGGCCUAUCAGCUUGUUGGUGGGGUAAUGGCCUACCAAGGCGACGACGGGUAGCCGGCCUGAGAGGGUGACCGGCCACACUGGGACUGAGAUACGGCCCAGACUCCUACGGGAGGCAGCAGUGGGGAAUAUUGCACAAUGGGCGCAAGCCUGAUGCAGCGACGCCGCGUAAGGGAUGACGGCCUUCGGGUUGUAAACCUCUUUCGCCAGGGACGAAGCGCAAGUGACGGUACCUGGAGAAGAAGGACCGGCCAACUACGUGCCAGCCGCCGCCGUAA
rnacentral:rRNA from 1 species